rnacentral:rRNA from 1 species
AGAGUUUGAUCCUGGCUCAGGACGAACGCUGGCGGCGUGCCUAAUACAUGCAAGUAGAACGCUGAAGAGAGGAGCUUGCUCUUCUUGGAUGAGUUGCGAACGGGUGAGUAACGCGUAGGUAACCUGCCUUGUAGCGGGGGAUAACUAUUGGAAACGAUAGCUAAUACCGCAUAACAAUGGAUGACACAUGUCAUUUAUUUGAAAGGGGCAAUUGCUCCACUACAAGAUGGACCUGCGUUGUAUUAGCUAGUAGGUGAGGUAAUGGCUCACCUAGGCGACGAUACAUAGCCGACCUGAGAGGGUGAUCGGCCACACUGGGACUGAGACACGGCCCAGACUCCUACGGGAGGCAGCAGUAGGGAAUUUUCGGCAAUGGGGGAAACCCUGACCGAGCAACGCCGCGUGAAGGAAGAAGGUUUUCGGAUUGUAAACUUCUGUUAUAAAGGAAGAACGGCGGCUACAGGAAAUGGUAGCCGAGUGACGGUACUUUAUUAGAAAGCCACGGCUAACUACGUGCCAGCAGCCGCGGUAAUACGUAGGUGGCAAGCGUUGUCCGGAUUUAUUGGGCGUAAAGCGAGCGCAGGCGGUUUGAUAAGUCUGAAGUUAAAGGCUGUGGCUCAACCAUAGUUCGCUUUGGAAACUGUCAAACUUGAGUGCAGAAGGGGAGAGUGGAAUUCCAUGUGUAGCGGUGAAAUGCGUAGAUAUAUGGAGGAACACCGGUGGCGAAAGCGGCUCUCUGGUCUGUAACUGACGCUGAGGCUCGAAAGCGUGGGGAGCGAACAGGAUUAGAUACCCUGGUAGUCCACGCCGUAAACGAUGAGUGCUAGGUGUUGGAUCCUUUCCGGGAUUCAGUGCCGCAGCUAACGCAUUAAGCACUCCGCCUGGGGAGUACGACCGCAAGGUUGAAACUCAAAGGAAUUGACGGGGGCCCGCACAA